rnacentral:rRNA from 1 species
UGGGGAAUAUUGCACAAUGGGCGCAAGCCUGAUGCAGCCAUGCCGCGUGUAUGAAGAAGGCCUUCGGGUUGUAAAGUACUUUCAGCGGGGAGGAAGGUGUUGUGGUUAAUAACCUCAGCAAUUGACGUUACCCGCAGAAGAAGCACCGGCUAACUCCGUGCCAGCAGCCGCGGUAAUACGGAGGGUGCAAGCGUUAAUCGGAAUUACUGGGCGUAAAGCGCACGCAGGCGGUCUGUCAAGUCGGAUGUGAAAUCCCCGGGCUCAACCUGGGUUCUGCGUCCGAAACUGGCAGGCUUGAGUCUUGUAGAGGGGGGUAGAAUUCCAGGUGUAGCGGUGAAAUGCGUCGAGAUCUGGAGGAAUACCGGUGGCGAAGGCGGCCCCCUGGACAAAGCCUGACGCUCAGGUGCGAAAGCGUGGGGCGCAAACA